ACUCCCAAGACCUGAGUGGGGCCAGCGUUUGAAGCCUGUUCUAGCUCAUUAAUUGAUGUGGAAUAAGGAGAAUGGAGAGGAAGAACUGGCCGCACCUGCUCCCUGUUGGGGCCCAUUGCUGUGGCUCCCCCGGGCAGCCCCCAGGCACUCUGCAGGCACUAAUUCAGACCAGGAAGCUUGACCCCACACCGAUUAUAUCACAGGAGGCAGAAAGGAGGACAUGGGCCGGCUCUCCCGGGUGGCAGUUUGCACUUUUCCGCAAUAGAAUUGUGUUAAUAGGGUCACGCAUUAAACACGGCGGGGCCAGGCGGAGCAAAUGAGCCGGACGUCACUGCCACCCGCUUGCCCAUAUGGUCACCGAGAUCACUUCUGGGCUCUGCAGUGCGGAGGCCGUGGGGCGCAGGGGACGGCGAGCCAGGCCGGACUUGCCAGCUGAGUGACCCCACCCUUCGUGGAACUUGGCCAAAAAGGCCCGGGGUCGUGUAGGAGGGAUGGGGCAGAAGGUACAGUGGUGGGCUUAGCUCCUGGAGCGCUGAGCUCGAGGCUUGGCUCUGUCUCCAGGGUAGUCUUCUCAGCUACUCCCUAAGACUGGAAUUGAACAUUUGCCUAGAAAGGACUUCUUCAAUGGCGUUCCUGACACUAAUAAAGUCCUACUUGGGAACCAUGUCCUCUCGCACCCCUGAGAGGGUCCCCUAGAUGAACUCUUUCUUUCCAAGUCAGCAGUUUUGUGUUCCGUGUAUCUGGGGAAGUUGUCAGCUUGGCUAUGCAAGGCCCAGGGCCAAGGUAACUGGUCCGAGCUGAGAAGGCUUCCAAACCAGGAAACGGAACCCAAGGUACUCUCUGACAGGGCUGGGAAGAAACCCUUUGGGGACAGUGUGGUGCCAUUAUGCCAUUUGUCAUUUGUAACUGCCUCGUUGGCUCGUACAAAGGUAAGGUCUUAUGCUAAUAAUAAUGCUGAUAAUAAUACCCCCAACCAUUACCAUUUAUGUGGUACUUACUAUGGGCCAGGUGCAUGUUAAAUGCUUUACAAUUAUGAUCUCAUUUGAUCCUCAUAACAACCCAUUAUUACUCUUACUUUACAGAACAGUAAAUUGAGGCAAACUGGGCCAGUAAGUGUCUGAGACCGGACUCCGGUGGUCUCAAGUACCACCUCGCUGCAUCUAAAUGCAAACUAGUGCUACCAUUCCCCUCCACGCUAACAUCAGCAUUUGAGCUCUCCAACAUUCGGGAAGGUCCCUGACCAUGAACCUGGCAGAGUGUUUUAUUACAGAAAGGGUUCCUGACCAAGGUAGAAGAAGAUUGGGGUAAAUGGACCAUCUGACCACCUCCAUCUCAGAACUUCCAUUUCUAUGACUUGCCCAAAGAUGCAGAAAACCCGAAUUUGUGACAGAGUCUUGGUGUCCACUCUCUUUCUGGCUGCCCCUGGUUAUGUAGUUAAAUCAUCCUGAGUGUCCCUCUCAGCUAUGCAAUUUCUUCCAGCAUUCAGAGAUCCCCCCAAACUAAAAAGAAUGCUGACUUUAUGCCUGGGAAUUCCCUUCUGAGAAGAUACCUUUACUUCAGUCAGAGAUUUGGGUGCUGGAAUUGACUAACAUUUAUUGCCCACUCACAGUAUACACAGCCCUCUACUUGUCACCUUGGAGGAAACAAAAGGAAUUGUCCUGACCCUGGAGAUGUUUACAAUCUAAUUGGGGAAAUGGAACAUAUAUGAUCAUAUUUGGGAAAUCAUCAAUUAUGAAAAGAUAAAAGAGAGGCAGAGUGGUAGCAAACUGUAAUGACUUUCAAACCGGAAAAUAUGGAAGAAAAAACCCUCCAUGUCAAGAUGUGGAAACUGAAGCAUAGAGACAAGAGGACUUUCCCCAGAUCACAUACGUUGGAAGCCAGUUCCUCUUACUCCCGAUGCAAGCCCAUUUCCUCCUGCAGCCCUUGCUCAGGAUGUUCAGGAUGUGCCAUGUAGACUCCCUCCUGCCUCCUGUUGUACAGGAUACAACCAGCUGACCUUCCUGCCAAUCAGGUGUGAGACAGCUCCCCUUGGAAAAAAACAAAAACCGAGUCUAAUGGGCAACCUGCAUGUUUUUGCUGCUUAUCCCGGUUGUUGCUGUCAAAGGAAGGUUUUCAAGUCAGUAAAGGAGUUGAUAUGAAAAGCAGAUUGGACAGAUGGAAAGAAGGGCAUUUUAUUUUUAUUUUUUAAAGAGAUUGGGCAGGAGGCAGAGCAGCAAGUUCAAGGAGGAAAGGAAGAAUACCAGAAAUACAAACAAAAAUGGAACCCAAAGGAUAUCAGUAAUGAAGAACCAAGAAAGGGUUGAUGUUGGUCACUGAACUGGAAAAAGGGGGGGAGGGAGGGAAAGUAAAGAAAAUAAAGUAAUUAUUUACCGCUGCAUUCGCAUAGAGCUUUAAUGUUUACUGGGGGAGGUAAAAGGGGAAGCCCUUAUCUCGCCCAAUUUGGAGUAGAAAGUGAAAGUCCUAGUAAAUGACUUUCCCCCAGUUACACCUGGAGCGCGUUGUGGAGGUGGGACUUUCUAUUGAGGGAUACCACUUAUUAACAUUUUGAAGUACUUUACAAAGCCCUCAUCUCUUUUAAGAGAACAAGAACUAGGCUGCUAGCCUGCCUGUCCUGACUCUCCAGGACUCACUUUCCUCAAGCAUAAAAUUUAUACUCUGACCCCAAGUCCCGCAGUCUUUCCUCUAUUGGACCUGAUGAGCGGUCCCUUUCCGAUCUUAUAAUCUAGGACAGCAAGCAUUCGGGAAACAGCUCACUGAGCUGACUUCUGUUAGUCAGAGGCAACCCAUGGGCUCUCGGGGUGGGUGAGGUGCCGGGGAAAGGGCUCUCUCUCCUACAGAUUCCAGGACUCGCGAGCCUCCUUCUCCCAUACAGUUCUUGCCUGUUUGUCUCCCACAAUCUGCUACAGAAGUUCUAGAUCUCCAGACAUGCCUUCUCUUAUUGUUCAAUCAUGUUUAAUUCUCUGUGAUC